UACGUAGGGUGCGAGCGUUAAUCGGAAUUACUGGGCGUAAAGCGUGCGCAGGCGGUUCGCUGUGUCCUGUGUGAAAGCCCCGGGCUUAACCUGGGAAUGGCAUGGGAAACUGGCGGGCUGGAGUGUGGCAGAGGGGGGUGGGAAUUCCGCGUGUAGCAGUGAAAUGCGUAGAGAUGCGGAGGAACACCGAUGGCGAAGGCAGCCCCCUGGGCUAACACUGACGCUCAGGCACGAAAGCGUGGGGAGCAAACAGG
rnacentral:rRNA from 1 species